rnacentral:sRNA from 1 species
GUGAGGUGGGGAAAGGU